rnacentral:lncRNA from 1 species
UUUGGAACCCAGACUUGAGCUCGGGGCAAGUGCCACGCGGGUCUGCCCACCCAAGCCGUGUCUCGGUGUCCACGGGCUCCGCCGUUGGCUCGCGGCCUGUUCUUUCUCCUCUGGCACUUCUGUUGUCCUGAGAAAACCCCUGGCGGGGCAGCUUCAGGCCCGGCUGAGCACAGUAUCAGCCUUUUGGUGCAUCUACUUCAGUUACAGAGGCCCUGGAAAUGCAGAUUAAAGCUCAUCUUUUUCAACCUUGCUUUCCACCCUGCCCAAGGGAAGGCAUCAGAGGCAGGGAGAGGCAGCCCCCCUCCACAAUCAGACUCUGACCCCUGCAGACCCUUCCCACAGACACUGCAGAGCAGCCAAGUCUAUCCAUUCCGGAAGGUUUGUUUAUUCUGUGGAUACAUUCUGUUUGCAACUGGCAGAUCAGGAGAGAGGAGAGGAAGGAAUUACCUCGGAUGGCUGGAGCGGAGAACUCAUGAAGGGAAGGCUCCAGGGCUUUGCCAAUGGGGCAUCUGGCUGGAAAAUCUGUGGAUGAAUCAGCAUAAGUGGAUGCUCGCUGUUACAAAAAUGACCAAAAUUGCAUAUUCUAGUGAUCACUGCUGAUGGUAUCUUGGUAAGGUGAAGAAGGAUCGCUGUGGAAGAUUAUUGGUGAGCGAGAUGUAGGAAUCCUGAGACUUUGCACUGAGUCCUUUGAAAGCAAGAGGCCAGUCUCCAGACUUUAAAGUCAGCAUCCAGACUUUCAAAUCUUAGGCUAUCUCCAUGUGCUAUUAUAAAUUGAUGCCAUUAUAAAGAUGUUAAUACCCAUCUUUUCUCCUGGAAUCAUGAGAAAGACUAGCCUUAAUAUAGAAUUGGAUAUUAAAAGCAGUUUCUUAUCCAUGUGUCCUAAAGCAAUCAGUGACAUCCAUGAUUAAUUAGUGCAGGGGUGAUUCCUGGAAUGCUAAUUGUCAUUCCAUGGUACAAAAAUCACAACCUAGGUUCUUUCUUUCUUUCUUUCUUUCUUUCUUUCUUUCUUUCUUUCUUUCUUUCUUUCUGUGACUGUGCAUCCAAAUCUAAAUAUCAUUUGC